UUUAACCUCAGGAAACGGUGUCGUGAUCCACCUGCCAGGCCUGUUUGAAGAGGCAGAAAAAAACGAACGCAAAGGAAAAGGUCUAAAAGACUGGGAGAAGAGGCUGAUCAUCUCCGACAGAGCACACAUUGUGUUUGACUUCCACCAAGCUGUUGACAGUGUUCA